CAUCUUCUUUAUCCAUUUAUUUGUCAGUGGAUGUUUAGGUUGCUUCCAUGUCUUGGCUAUUGUAAAUAGUUCUGCAGUGAACACUGGAGUGCAUGUGUCUUUUCAAAUUAGAGUUUUCCUCUUUUCUGGAUAUAUGCCCAGGAGUGGUAUUGCUGGAUCAUAAGUCAACUAUAUUUUUAGUUUUUUUAAGGAACUUUUACAUUGUUUUCCAUAGUGGCUGCACUAGUUUGCAUUCCCAUCAACGGUAUAGGAAGAUUCCAUUUUUCUUCACAAUCUUUUUUUUUUUUUUAAGGAUAUGAUAGAACACAUCUUUGAUGUACAGUGAAAUGUGUUUAUUUAUUUAUUUAUUUAUGUUAAUUUUUUUGGCCAUGCCCACAGCAUGUGGAAGUUCCACAGCCAGGAAUUGAUCCCGAGCCAAAGCAGUGACCCAAACCACUGCAGUGAAAACACUGGAUCCUUAACCCACGGUGCCACAGGAGAACUCCAUGUUGGAUUGUUUGUUUUCUUCUUGCCAACUGUCAAGAGAGUUUUUAUAUAUUCUAAAUUGAGUUCUUUGACCAAUACAUAACUUGAAAAUGCUAUCUCUUGCCUAUGGGCUGCCUUUUCAUUCUCUUACCAGGGUAUUUCAAAGAGUAGAAGUUCUUAAUUUUGGUAAAGUUCAAUUUAUAAUUUUGUUUAUGUUAUGGAUCAUUCUUUUACAUUAUACUUAGAAAAAAUUUACCUAAUUCAGGGUCAUAAGGAUUUUCUCCAAUAAUUUUCAUUCAUUUGUGUAGGUCACAGUUUCACUCUAUUAUGAUUUUCCUUCUGCUUGAGGACUUUACUGUGUUUUGUAGUACAGAUCUGUUGGUGAUGAGUCCUUUCAGCUUGUGUAUAUCUAGAAACAUUUUCAAGUUUUAAUUUUGAAAGAUAUUUUCACUGAAUAAGAAUUCUAGGUUGAUGGUAUUAUUCUUGCAAUAUUUUUAAAACUGCUGCUGUACUGUCUUUUUGCUUGCAUUAUUUCUGAUAAGAAGUCUGCUGUCAUUUUUUUCUUUGUUCCUCAGUACAUGUAUUUUUUUCUCUAGCUGCUUUUAAGCCUUUCCUCUUAUCACUGCUUUUAAGAAAUUUGAUUAUGAUGUAUUUUUCUUCAUAUUUCUUGUGCUUGUAGUUUUUUGACCCUCUUGGAUCUGUGAUCUCUACAACUCUAAAUGUUUUAAUCAGAUCUGGAAAGUUUGGGGCCAUUUUCUUUCCAAAUAUUUUUUUUUUUUUUUGGUUCCCUUACCCUUUCCUCUCCUUUGUGUAUGCCAGUUACAUGUAUAUCUGAUCACUUGAGGUUGUCCUCAAUUCACUGAUGGUGUAUUCCAUUUUUUUACCAGUCAUUUUCACAAUUUCUGUAAUUUUGAAUGGUUUCUAUUGUUGUGUUUUCAUGUUCACUAUUUUGGUGUUGGUGGUGGUCAUGUCUAAUGUCCCUUUAAUCUCAUCCACUGUAUUUUUAUCUCACACUCUUUUUUUUAAUCUUUAGAAGUUUUACUUGGGUCUUUUAAACAUCCUUCGUGCCUCUACUUAACAUGUUCAGUCUUCACAUUUUCAACCUCUAGCUUUUCAAAUAUAUGGAAUACAAUUCUCAUAACUGCUUCAAUGUCUUGUUCUACUAAUUCCAAAAUCUGUGCUAUUUCUUAAUCAAUUUUGAUUGAUUUUUCUUCUCAUUAAAGAAAUUUGUACUUUCCUGCUUCUUUGCAUACUGAGUAGUUUAUCAUUAAAUGCCAGAUAUUCUGUGUUUUACCUUAUCGGUUGCUAGAUUUUUGUAUUCCUGUAAGUAUUUUUGAGCUUUGUUCUGUAACAUCGCUAAGUUACCUAGAAACACUUUGAUCCCUUUAUAUCAUAUCUGAGGCAAAAUCGUUUUAGUAUCCUAAUCAAUGCUCCUGACCUAUGAAAUUUCUAAUCUAGCUGUAGGAGACAUGCUAUUCUUAGCCCUAUUUGGGUUCUAGGCACUGUUCACUCUAACUCUUUGGGUUGGUUCUUUCCUUGGCCUCACACACAUGCAUUGAUCCUUAUUCAACUGAAUUAUCUUAGGGAACACACUGCAGAUCUCUGAAGGUCUCUCUAUGCACUGUUCUUCCCUCUCUGAUAUGCUGCCCUCCCUGGACUCCUAACUCUGUCACCUCAACUUAGGGCCACUGCCACCUUCUGCCUGAGUUCCCCCUCUCUGUACCAUACCUCAAAAGUCUCUCCAGGCACUAGCUAGGCAGUUUAUAGUAUGCUUACCUUUGGUAAUAUAAUUUUUAAGAAUUUUCUGAACCAGGAAAAAACACCAUAAGCAAAUAUAAAAAGCAAAUUUGAUACUGAGGAGAAACAUUUGUCACAUGUGUAACAGAAAAAAGAUUAAUAUUAAAAUUAUACAAAAUGCAAAUCAAAAAGAAAAUCAUGGACAUGGAGAACAGACUUUUGGUGCCUGAUGGGAGGGGGAGGGAGUGGGAGGGAUCAGGAGCUUGGGCUUAUCAGACACAACCUAGAAUAGAUUUAUAAGGAGAUCCUGCUGAAUAGCAUUGAGAACUAUGUCUAGAUACUCAUGUCGCAACAGAAGAAAGGGUGGGGGAAAAAACUGUAACUGCAAUGUAUACAACUAAGGAUAACCUGACCCCCUUGCUGUACAGUG
rnacentral:lncRNA from 1 species